CUGGUGAGUAACACGUGGGUAACCUGCCCUUGAAGUAGGGGAUAACACUUGGAAACAGGUGCUAAUACCGGAUAACAACCAAAACCACCUGGUUUUGGUUUAAAAGACGGCUUCGGCUGUCACUUUAGGAUGGACCCGCGGCGCAUUAGCUUGUUGGUAAGGUAACGGCUUACCAAGGCGAUGAUACGUAGCCGACCUGAGAGGGUAAUCGGCCACAUUGGGACUGAGACACGGCCCAAACUCCUACGGGAGGCAGCAGUAGGGAAUCUUCCACAAUGGACGAAAGUCUGAUGGAGCAACGCCGCGUGAGUGAUGAAGGGUUUCGGCUCGUAAAACUCUGUUGUUGGAGAAGAAUAGGUGUCAGAGUAACUGUUGACAUCUUGACGGUAUCCAACCAGAAAGCCACGGCUAACUACGUGCCAGCAGCCGCGGUAAUACGUAGGUGGCAAGCGUUGUCCGGAUUUAUUGGGCGUAAAGCGAGCGCAGGCGGUUUUUUAGGUCUGAUGUGAAAGCCUUCGGCUUAACCGGAGAAGUGCAUCGGAAACCGGGAGACUUGAGUGCAGAAGAGGACAGUGGAACUCCAUGUGUAGCGGUGAAAUGCGUAGAUAUAUGGAAGAACAC
rnacentral:rRNA from 1 species